AUUCCUGGGCGUUUCCGGGUCCGUGGGCUGCUGGAUCCAUCAGUUCAGGAAAUCUUCUCCCAGCCCCAGGCUGUACCCUCCGUGGGCCGAGGGAAUGAUGGGGCGCUGGACAGAGACAGUGCAGGAUGGAGACCCAGGCCACUGGGCCACCGGAGUCCAAAUUCUCCACCUGUCCCAUCCCCAUGGACAGUUCCCAGAGGGCCCAGGGAUCCCACCCCGGGGGCCUGUUUUGAACACCCUGCACUGGUGCCCUCGCUGCCUCCCUCUGGAGUGCAGCCUCCAGUUGGGAGCCAUGCCUCCUUCCUUGAGGGGGAACCUCUGCCCCUGCCCCGACUCCAGGAUAACGGCUGGCCAAGGCCCCCAGGAGGGGGAGGCCACAGAGCUGGAGGUCCGAGGGGGCAGCUUGUAAGCAGGUGCGGCCCAUCUAGGGCAGCAGGGUGGGGCACCCUGGAACUUCCUGUGCCAGGGAGCGCCACUUCCUGGUGCCCCUGCAGCCCCGCACGAGGUGCCCCGUGCUCUCCAGAAUGCCCAACCUCAGGAGGCCAGAGGGACAAACACAGCUGGCUCCUCCCCGGGGUUGCUGUGUCCUUACCUGAUGGAACCAGGACAGAGCCACACAUCUGGGCCAGCCCCUCCCUCCUGUUGGAGGAGAAACCGAGGCCCAGAGCCAGCCCAGGACACAUAGGCUCUGCCCCAGCCUGGCUGGCCCUGGUCAAGGCCUCGCCCCUCCCUGCCCAUGAUGGCCAGCCCUGGAGAACCAGGCUGCUUUUCCUGGAAACUGGGGCCUCUGCAUCCCUCCCCUCGAGGCAGCGCCAUCCAUCUCCCAGCCCUGGGCGUCUGUCUGGAGCUGUUAGUCAAUUAUGGGUCCCAGGAGGCUGGGACCAGCUUCCCCCGAGGCAGAGGCUGCCUCUCUGCUCAGCGAGGCCUGUGUCCCAAGGUGGGGUGGGGGUGGAGUGUGGACAAGACUCGAGAACCUUUGCCACCUGGGCCAGAAUGUUGCCUACCGUGGGUCCUCCACUCCAUCCACACUCUUCUCUCUCUCCAGGCCCCCAAACCCCAAUCUUGCAGCUGAGCCCCACCUGGCAGAGGGGGCCCAAGGAGGCUGGGUGGGACCUCAGAUCAUGGGGAGCCACUGCACCCCUGGUCCACCCAGAACAGGCCUCCCUCAGACUGUUGGAAGCCCUUCCACGGCGGCUCCAGCCCUCCUCCCGGCCUGCCCAGGAGAUGGACAGACCUGGGCUGGAGGUCCCUGUCCAGUCCUGCUCUUGGGGUCUCAUUUCCCCUGGGGCCACCUGGAGCAUCCCCCACCCCCACUCUGACAGGCUCCUGGGCCCCCUCCCAGCUCCAGCCCUCACCACUGGCCACAGACACCUGAGGGGAGGCCUAGAAGCUGGACCUGAGGGGGAGAUGGCCUCAUGCUUCCCCAUGGGUGGAAGGCCCCCUCCACUCUGUCACAGCAGGAGUCCUGUUGACACACUGUCACCAAAUCCACCUCCUGCCUGUCCCCACCCCCACCUGGUAUGCCCAGACCUGUGUGGGGCCUCGGAGCCGGGUGCCUCUGGCAGAGAAGCCAGCGGCCCCAUCCCCCUUCCCGUUCCCUCCUUUCCUGACCAGGGCCCUAACCUGCUGCCCCCACCCACCGCUCUCCUUUCUUUUGCUGAUGAAGACCUCCCAGCAGUGCCCUGA
rnacentral:lncRNA from 1 species